AAGAAGAAGAAGAAGGAGAAAAGAAUCCUAUAAGAAUCGAGAGACAAAAAAUUCUGUUAUUCUAUUCACAAAACCAAAUACAACUCCAUCUCAGCUAUUUAUUCUCUUGCAAUAGCAAAGAAACAGGGUGUCCCAAACAAUCAGCUAACUAAAACCAUAACAAAAUCGACAGUCUUUAGUAUAAAACAACUCUUUGUUCCUGACAUUCAUACUGUAUUUCUUUAACAAAAGUAACACAUUCAAACGAAUGUGGCAUUGAAUCAAACAAUACAUGGGCAGACAUAAAUAAGAAUGUAAAUGCUACUUUAUUGAGAGAUAAUGAAGCAGCUUUGGCCAUAACUGUAUUACUGAUCAAAAUUUAUGUCUCAUCCUGUUACUUAUAAUGGUUUGGUUUAGUGUGAAAAACUCAAAAGUAACUGAUUUUUUAAAUAAUUUGGCCUUUAAA
rnacentral:misc_RNA from 1 species